GUAAAAUAUAUAUUUUACAGUAAAGACCAAAAGUUUGGACACACCUUCUCAUUCAAAGAGUUUUCUUUAUUUUUAUGACUAUAAAAAUUGUAGAUUCACACUGAAGGCAUCAAGGGCUAUUUGACCAAGAAGGAGAGUGAUGGGGUGCUGCGCCAGAUGACCUGGCCCCCACAGUCACCGGACCUGAACCCAAUCGAGAUGGUUUAGGGGUGAGCUGGACCACAGACAGAAGGCAAAAGGACCAACAAGUGCUAAGCAUCUCUCGGGGAACUCCUUCAAGACUGUUGGAAGACCAUUUCAGGUGACUACCUCUUGAAACUCACCAAGAGAAAGCCAAGAGUGUGCAAAGCAGUAAUCAAAGCAAAAGGUGGCUACUUUGAAGAACCUACAAUAUGACAUAUUUUCAGUUGUUUCACACUUUUUUGUUAUGUAUAUAAUUCCAUAUAUAAUUCCACAUGUGUUAAUUCAUAGUUUUGAUGCCUUCAGUGUGAAUCUACAAUUUUCAUAGUCAUGAAAAUAAAGGAAACUCUUUGAAUGAGAAGGUGUGUCCAAACUUUUGGUCUCAAACUGAUGAGUAGACUGAAGUUGGGCUCAGGUGGUUGUGGUGCGGGAUGUUUCCCAUACAUUUAUUUAUUUUUGGAGACUCGCCACAAUUUUAAAACUGAUCGAUUUUCAAAAAGGCUUCGUUGAAUAAACAUGAGUAACGUUACGUACUGCACGUUUAAUAAUUCCUAACAUUUAUAUGUUUAAAUAUCAAAACGAGGCACAGGUGUUUUUAUAUCGCUGUAUUUCUGAAGGAAGACUUGCAUGUUAUAUGCCUGAUAAAGCAGAGUGUGAGCGUACCAGCUCUGCUUCGUUUACAGCUGUUACUGGGGAAACCUCUAUUUCUCGCACUUUAUGUCUAUGCUUUAAAACAUCUCCUGCUGGCAAAGGAUGAAUUUGCAUUUUCAUUAAGUCCGCCUGAUCCACGCAGCAAACAUAUUUUGUUUGUUAUCAAAAAAUAUCUACUCUAGAGGGACUUGGCUGUUGUUAUUGAUUCUAUUUGGAAGUCUACCGGUUAGGUUAGGUCCACAAAAGCGCGCAUGCGCAGUAACGUUUGUUUAUGUUGUUGCCGUUGAAACCGUCUAUAUAUAUAUGUGUGUGUGUGUGUGUGUGUGUGUGUGUGUGUGUGUAUAAUGUAUGUGUGUGUAAAAUACAUUUCUUUUAAAUGUAUAGCACAGUAAUGAAGGCAGUAACAUGUGACAGAUGGGACAGAACAAGAAUCUAUCAUUGUGCUAAUGUUUUAUAAUACGAAAGGGUAUGGCUCCUAUACAGCGUGCAGCACGUAAACACAACCAGUGCGCAGAAUGAUGCACUUGAAGCAACACAGAGUCACAGCGUGUAGCAUUACUCACAGAAAUGUUCAAAACACCAAAAGAAGAGAUAUUGUUGUGUAUUAUAUGUGUGCAAUAUUUUGAGCCUUUUCUUUUAACAGUUUUAAAUAUCAGUUAUUGUGCGCUCUUGAAGAGAGUUUCAUUGUUUUGACUGUAGUAACUAGGGCUGGAAUGAUACGCUAAUCUGCCAAUUCAAUACUAUCCCGAUACUUGUGUGCCGAUUCAAUAUAUAUUUAUAAUUAUAUAUAUAUAUAUAUAUAUAUAUAUAUAUAUAUAUAUAUAUAUAUAUAUAUAUAUAAUUUAGCAUUGUGAUUAUAGUUAUAUAACUAUUGCAAUUCGUGACUUAUCCAAAUUGUCUGUAAAAUGAUGUUUGUUUCUGUAGAUUUGAGGGAAAGAUUAAAAACAAGGAGGUCUGGGAAUGACUGAAGGGAACUGACAGCAGUGCAGGAAGGAAGUUAUCACCAGAAUCUCAGAGGAUGUUGACAGUGCAGGUCCAGGAUGAAGAAGAGGAGGAAGAACACGUUUAACAAUUUUCUCAUAAGCUUGCCAUGUGUUAUAAUAAAAACAAUGAACAUGACUACAAUAAUAUGCUAAAUGUUAUUAAAAGAUUCCAGUUUGCAAGAAGUCUGAGUGUCUGACUCUACACUAGAGGAACUCUUUUCUGAAGAAGAUCAGGUGCUGAGAAGAAGCCUUGUUCUACAGCAAAACACUGCAUCAAGCCUCCUGUCCUUCCCUCAGAAGAGCCUGUCUUCUGCUGCUGGGGUAAGAAACACCCUCUUCCUCUUCUCUAUCAGCUGUCCAGCACCUAACUCUGCCUCCUCAGCACUGUCUGAAAGAGUCUUCUCCACAGUCAGUAAUCACAGAUCACAGAUUCUUCUGAGAAAGUCGAUAUGCUUAUUUUCUUAAAAGAAUUUGUUUUUUCGGGUGGGUCAAAUAAUACAGGAGAGAUGCUAGAAAUCUCUAUAUUGUUCAUUUUUCAUAUCUUUACGCUUUAUGAAUGUUUUUCUUCUGAGAAGCUCAAAAAUUAUGGUUCUUUGGUAAUUGUUAUAUUGUUUAGGUUUAUCCUCUGAUAGUGAGCACAGAGCCCUGAUCAUGACAUGAAAGAAAAAGAAAGAAAUCAUGUCCAUGAUUUACUAAUUCGUUCCCUCUAUGUACUAAAACGUGCACGAUUACUUUUACAUUUCAUUGAUUUGCUAAAUCGUAUGCACAAUUUACUAAUUCGUUCUCUUGAUGUAUAAAUAGUGUACACGUUUUAGCAAAUCGAGGGAAUGAAAUAGAAAAUCGUGCGCAUGAAUUAGCCUAAAUUUUUUCCUGCAUGUCGUGUAAUUAAAGCACAUCACCAUCAGACAUUUAUACCAGGAGCCUCAUAUAUGACGCUCACAGUUUUACUUUGUGCAGUAUCUCGGUGCAGUAUCUGCUGAAUUGUUUCAUAUCUAUUUAUCAUGUAUUUUUUGUUGCACUAAAUUAUGUUGUAUCAAUAAGUUUACUGAUAAUUAUUUUUAAUUUUCACUAAUAACGUCAUUAACCAUCUCCCCAUCUUUAAGACAAAAAUUUUCUAUUGUUUAUAUUGUGUAAUCUAUGAAUUGAUGUGUUUAGUUUUCUGUGCUCAUAACUUAGUAACAUUUUGCAUGUUUAAAGAACAGGUGCGAUGUUCAAAAUGUUUUGGCUUCGUAUUUGUAGAAAGUAGUGCUGAAUAAAUAUUGAUUUGUGAAUGAA